rnacentral:rRNA from 1 species
UACGUAGGGAGCAAGCGUUAUCCGGAUUUAUUGGGUGUAAAGGGUGCGUAGACGGAGAAGCAAGUUAGUUGUGAAAUCCCUCGGCUUAACUGAGGAACUGCAACUAAAACUACUUCCCUUGAGUACUGGAGAGGAAAGUGGAAUUCCUAGUGUAGCGGUGAAAUGCGUAGAUAUUAGGAGGAACACCAGUGGCGAAGGCGACUUUCUGGACAGUAGCUGACGUUGAGGCACGAAAGUGUGGGGAGCAAACAGG